CUUCUUGUGUCUCCUGGCGCCUCGGUGCGCGCCUUUCUUCUCACUGGCGUGGGCAGCGUGGUGAACCACUCUGUCAGUUUCACAUGAGCGCGUCUUAUUUUUCUGCCGUCUUGUUUUUCGUGCGAUCGCUGUUAAAUGGGAACACUUACGGGGCAGGCCUGCAGGGUGACAGUGAGACUAAUAAAGGGCCGCUGAAAGGCUGGGUGUGUUUUUUGUUUCUGUCGGCAGGCCACUGGGCAGGGUCUCUCACCAACUCAAACUUCCCUGCUCUCUCACUCCUGAAGAUAUAUUCAGCCUGAUAUAAACCUAUAGCAGAAAUUGCCAUGUUUAUAGCUAACAACAAAAAAUAGUUUUGGUUUCUAUGGCUGCAUGGAUGGGAACUGUACAGGUUAUUUGGAAGUAAAACUGUCACGGCAGCGGCGGCAGACGUGUGGAGGGUGUGAAAGAGGACCCAGAUGCUGGCACUGGCUUGGAUGGGAGCGAGCUUUAUUUACACACACCGGUGGUGCAAACAGAAACACAGUGAGCAAAACAAAACCUAAAGGUGACCUAAACUGGAAAUGACUAACAAACGAACCUGAACGGGCGACUCUGGGAGAAAACGCAGGGAAGAAACACAGAUGGACUAGCGAUGAACAUGAGCAAACACACACUAUAAAUACUCAGAAGGGAACGAGGAGACUACACACAGCAGGGAGGCACAGCUGAUUGUGAUCGACAAGACGAGACAGGGGAAACGCAAACUGAACACACUGGCAUAAGACACAGACUUUCACAAUAAAACAGGAAACUCAAAACACAAGCGAAGGCACAGACUCAGAGACGCGGGCUUUACACAGAGACCUGACUACACUAGGGGGGAUACACAGGCAGGGAUGGCACAGAACAGAGGGAGCACAGAAUUAACACUGGGAAGUCAAAUAACAAAACCUAAAAAUCAGAACUCGGGAAGCACCACGAAACUAGGGAGCUAGAAACACUAGGACAGAAACCAAACCACAGUCACAAUCCAUGAUGAAAUCAAAAGUAAAAAGUACAAAAACCAAAAACACUGGGUCACCGACCAGGGACCAUAACAAAAACCCGAGGUGGACAUGUACAAAAUAUCAGUAAUAAAGCCACAAGCGUGUGCAUGCACAGCUAUGGUAAAAAACAUGGUCUUAGCCUUGUUUUUUAAGCUUUGCUGUAAGAGUAAUGAAUAAAACGAUAAGAAUAACAAUUCCUCAAGAACACAGUUUUUAGAUCCUCUCAGAUGCAUCUUGAGAUUGAAUAAUUGUAAUUCUGUGCCUGCUUAAAGCUGAGCUGAUCAGAAACUCUUCUUCAUCUUGAUGUCUUGUGGGCUCAGCUCAAAAGGAAAAUAAACAAACAGGCAUGGUUGUUGCAUUUUCUGCUUCUGGGUACUGGGGCAGCUCUAGCAGUGAGAGCUAGCAUUGUAUCACCGCUUCUGAUGACCUUUGACCUCUGUUUAGUAGGACUGGCCCCGUGCCAGACAAUCCACUCAGUCCUGUGCAUAUGGGUGGAGGAAUGUGCUGGGCUGCAGUGAGCUCAUUAAACAGUACAGUGAGCGAGGGGUGAAGGUCUGUUGUUUGCACUAGCUCGCCUUCUCAGGCCCUUUGUGUGCCGAUGGAGCCUCCUGAGGGACACUGUGUCCACCAGGAAAGUGUGUGUGUGCGAAAACACUGCACAAAUGGUCACUGCAACCUUUUUCCUCUGGUGCACAAUACAUCAAUACCCCUAACGUGCACACCCAGCCUGCCGCAGAUGCACUCGAGCUGGAAAACAAGAUAUAUUGUUUUCCUUCCAAGGCCCAGAGUGUGAGGAGGUCUGUGAGAAUGGCCUGAUCUGUACCCGACAACCUUGGAGCGCAAGUCAGCGGUUUGGCUUGUUCCAGUUUCAGCAGCGUGCAGCUUUCUGAGCAAAAGUUCCUUUUUUUUUCACCUCCCCGGCUUAGUCUGUGCUUUGUUUUGGCACUGAGCUGCUGAUGGAGAAAAAAGAUGGAGGGGGAGGGAAGGCCAGAGAUCAGACACAAUCAUCCCGUGGUGGCAGCACAUGAGAACAGUCAGGUGGUGAUUUCUGGGCAGAAAACAAGUUGAUCAAGCAGAUUCACUAUUAAAUCCUCAACUGCAGGCAAGAGUAUGGGGCAGUCUGAUUUAGCAUUUUUAGCAGUUUCUAUUUGCAAACUUUUAUAAAAACAAACAAACAAAAAGAGACAUCUUGCAAAUAUUGAUAUUGUUGUAUAAUGAAGCCCCAAUCCUUUCAAACAAAAUCUGGCUCAACCCAAAUCAAAGACUAUCCUAUUUUCAAACCAGACAAAUUGGAAAAUUUGAAGUGAUUCACAACCAUGUGGCACGGUGGUGGGGGCAGUCUGCUUCCCAUCAUUAACAUAGCAUAUGCGUUCAUCUCGUGCAAUGUUUUGCACAGCGGUUUUAGGCAAUCUGAUAAACACCGCGUGACCGGGGCUUGUUUAAGUAAUAACAGUGAGAGGGGGUCCUAAGCCCCACUCCGAAUCGGCUGUGUGCUCCUGAAGAAAACUUUCUCGUGGCGGGAGAACCCAUGCUGCUGCUGCUAAUGCGAGGGAGCUGUCAGGGACACACGUGCCAGGUUUAAUUCUCUUAAUUGUAUGCAGCUAAUCGUGUGUUGACAGAGAUGUUGUUUUUACACGGGGGAAGAGCCUGAUUCUUCUUGGCCGGGGCGGAGCGCACACUUUUGUUACUGUAAGGUUAACUAGUGGGGAUGGUGUGGGAAAAGCUAGGUGUUUCCCCUCAUUUUAACCUUUGUGUAAUGCUAGGCUAACCAUAUGCUGGUUUCACCUUCAUAGUUAGUAUUCAGAUAUCAGAGCAGUAUCAGUCUUCUCAUCUGAAAUAGUGAACAAGUGGGUUUUUGUUCACCAGUUUCAUGAACUGAAGAUCUGCUAAGAUAAGUAUUUUUUUUAACCACAGAGAUCAGAUUUUAGAAGAAUUUGUCACAGGCUGACUUUUUCACAGGGGGGCGACGACUAACUUUUCAGGUGCAGCCGACAGACACCUGUCUCCACCAGUCAUUGCAUAUGAAUGCAGAACAAAUAAAAACUAAAGCUUCUUAAAGACUGACUCAUUAUUGCUUGAUAGCAGAUGUGAUCGGCUCAAAUUAUGAAAGCACAACCUUUGUAAGCCAGAGCUUCUGGAAACAAAUAUUUUGUCUCUGGCCUAUAAAUUCUUCUUACUCAUUUUUAGCUAUUAAAGUUGGGCAUAUAUUAAAAGUGUUCUGACACUUGGAUGGCAAAAGGGGGAGGGGCCUCCUUCAGGUUUUCUAAACCUGUCCAGUGGGCCAUAUUGGAGUCUUUCCCGAGCCGAUUCUGCCCCCCUGGCCUUAUGUUUGACACCCCUGCUCUAAAGGAUGAAGGCGACUAAACCAGCAAAGCAAAGUGAAAAAAUGUUACACGUAAAUCCCUUUCUAAGAAGCUGUUAGCCCACAUAUUUGGCGAAUCGGCCAACCCUAGCAAAACGUCUGUUUAAAAAAAUAAUAUUUUCAUUUUGGUCCUGGCAGCGUUUCACUUUAUUUUUUUAUCUUUUUUGCAGCUGCAGAAAACAUGGGUGUGGUCUUCUCUCUUUGGUGGCGAGUUUGUGCGUUUAACUCUUUGCUCAUUUGUUUCUUAUGUGGUCAAAGGGCACCAGGGCACUCUUCUCUCUUCUGCGUGGCAGGUAAAAUAUGAGGCCAGGAUACAUGAAGGGCCCGAGGUGAAUAACAUUGGUGAAAAAACACGGAAAAACAGAGUUUUCUUGAGGUGGGUAGUCGGGCAGAGUAUUCAGGGAAACGCCUUGUUUUUGUUUUUUUUUCGCUACGAGAGAGCGGUGGGGGUAGGGUGAGGUGCAAGAUGGUUGCCCAUUGGCUCAAGUUACCCUUUGGAUGAUGCUUAUGGAGCGCUGCCUAGUGCAGCUGAGCACACUGCACUCAAAGGGUCCUUUUUUCAAACCAGAGAGAAAGUCAUCCACAUGCUCGGACCCCCCCCCCCCCCCCGAACCCCCCCUCCCUCGCUGCAGAACCCCUGUUCCUCCCUGCCUGCUUCCCCUGGCUGCAGACCAAGUGCUUCAUGUGGCUCGAAUGGGGUAAGCUGGAGGUGGCCCCCACCCCUGUCCUCAGAAGACACUUGUUUUCCAGUGGGAUGAGGGUGUGUUAGUGUUGGCAGGGUGGAGCAGAGAGUUGGAGGGGUUCAGCGGAUGGGGGGUUAGGCUGACUUGCCUCCUGGGAGAGGAGGCAAUAAAAGACUGAGAGCACUUUCACAUGACCCUUUCACACACCUAUGUGCACCUGUAGAGAGAUGACACAUUGUUUGUUAAAGGCAUAUCUUACUGUUUUUAAGAUUAUUUUAUUAAUAAUUGUGCAAUCAAAUCCCUAAAAAUCGAUCCUGUGCAUGAAGUGAGACUGGUGAGAUUUAUUGCCAACAAGAUGUCUCUGGUCGAGGUCUAAGUGAAACAGACGUGGCUACUGAGAUGGUCUCAUUUUGCGUGAAAAAUGAAGGUGACGCCCUUCCUGAAAAA